rnacentral:rRNA from 1 species
GAGCUUGCUCCCUGAUAUUAGCGGCGGACGGGUGAGUAACACGUGGGCAACCUGCCCUGCAGAUGGGGAUAACUCCGGGAAACCGGGGCUAAUACCGAAUAAUCGGUUCUUCCGCAUGGAAGAACUCUGAAAGACGGUUUCGGCUGUCACUGCAGGAUGGGCCCGCGGCGCAUUAGCUAGUUGGUGGGGUAACGGCCUACCAAGGCGACGAUGCGUAGCCGACCUGAGAGGGUGAUCGGCCACACUGGGACUGAGACACGGCCCAGACUCCUACGGGAGGCAGCAGUAGGGAAUCUUCCACAAUGGACGAAAGUCUGAUGGAGCAACGCCGCGUGAGCGAAGAAGGUUUUCGGAUCGUAAAGCUCUGUUGCGAGGGAAGAACAAGUACGAGAGUAACUGCUCGUACCUUGACGGUACCUCGUUAGAAAGCCACGGCUAACUACGUGCCAGCAGCCGCGGUAAUACGUAGGUGGCAAGCGUUGUCCGGAAUUAUUGGGCGUAAAGCGCGCGCAGGCGGUCCUUUAAGUCUGAUGUGAAAGCCCACGGCUCAACCGUGGAGGGUCAUUGGAAACUGGAGGACUUGAGUACAGAAGAGGAAAGCGGAAUUCCACGUGUAGCGGUGAAAUGCGUAGAGAUGUGGAGGAACACCAGUGGCG